CAGUGGGAAAAAUUUCAUGCAGAUUUAUGAUCAAAAGAAAAAAGGUUCAAACAAGAAAUAAUUAAGAAGUAUACGGUGCGUUGUCGUUGAAAAAAAAUCAACAAUCAAAAAAAAAAAACCAAUCAAAAUAAAUCAAACCAGUGAGAGACGACAAAAAGACAAAAAUAAAACAAUUUCUAUAUAUUUUUUAUUCAUACUAGGUAGGGACUUUCUAUACUAAUAGUAUAGAAAGCUAUCCUCAUUGUUGGUCGGUUGUAGAAUGUUAUCUCACCGACUUUUAAAAGAGACCACAAAAAAGCGACAAAAUAAUCAGCUUCUCCUUGUAGAUACGCGUCCCCCCUUUUCCCCCAAAGAAAAAGAGAGAUAAAGAAAAAUGGUAAAAAAAAAGAAUAGAGAAUAAUGGAGUGCUAAAAUGAACAAAAUAUAAUUUAUAAAAAUUAGGAAUUAGUGCAGCUACUAGCAGACUAACAUCACUAAUGUAAUCCUUAUAGGAUAUGAGCUUACAUAACUCUAUAUCAUCAUAAUUUGGUCUAAUUUUGAAAUUGUCAAAAAAAUGCUACAACAUCUUACUUGUUUGUACUAUUACUAUAAACAA
rnacentral:lncRNA from 1 species